CGCUCUGUCAUCCAGACUGGAGUGCCUGUCCAAGGAUCACAUUCUGAGCCGUCAGGCCCUGGACUUCAUGAAGUCCUUGCUUUACCAGUCUAUGUUUCUCUACUGUGUAACUUGAGAAGAAUUUCACUGGUGAUUUCUCGUUCUGUCUGUCUUCCCCUUACACCGGUGGUUCUCAACCAGGGAAGAGUUUACCUCCUAGGGGACAUGUGGCAAUGUCUGGAGGCAUUUCUGGUUGUCACAACUCGGUGGAGGGUGCUAGUGGCAUCUAGCUACUACUAAACAAUCUGCAAUACCUAAGACAUCCCCACAGCAAUAAUUAUCUGACCAAAAAUGUCAAUAAUAUUGAGGUUGACAAGCCUUGCUUCAUGAGGGUUGGGCAUAGAACAUCUCAUUUUCUGUUUUAUGUCCAGCGUCUGGCAGCAUGCCUGGCUUAUAGUAAAGCAUAGCCACAGGUCCCUAAGCAUGCUGUCCUCCAUUCUCCAUCCCAAUUGUAAAACUUUCCAUGUUCUAUACCUUUCCAUCCAUGAUGGCAGCUGGAAGUUAUGAAAUAAACCCCUGAUAUCAUAAAGUUCCACCCAGAAGAAAAUUAAAACCAAUAAAUAACAGGGGAUACAAGCUAAUACGAAGGAACAUUAUGACUACUCUGAAGAUGUUUAAUACUCAAUGAUUUACUGAUUGCUUUCUUAAAUGAAUGAGUGUUGACUCAAGAACAUUGGUCAGAAAGUUUGUCACUGACCUGACCACAAAGAAGGUUGUAGUCACAAAGGAACAGCAAGAACUGCUCUUGAGAAUGAUCAUAAAGGGUGAAAACACUCUGGCCUGCCACAGCACCAAGGAUAGAAAUGGUAAUGACACUGAUUUCUGCUGACUGCCUUUGGAUCACUAUGACUGGUCAGUCUGGGACAUUCACUUGUUUUUCUUAUCUAGAAAGCCCUGAGAACUAAACAUUUUGGCAAUCUGGAAAAGGAGACUGGUGGAUGAAUUUCCUCCAUGGUGGGCUGGUCUUAAGCAAACUCCUUUUAUGUGUGAUAUGGGAGAUACUGAAAGGCCAGAUGGAGCAACCAGCUAAGUAUCUAAAAUUCCUACCAUUUAAACAACAAAGAGAUCAUUGUUUUAUAAUUCAUUUAUAAUUGUCUGUUGAUUUAUCAUGGUGAUAUAAAGGUGGAGACAUUGUUAUUCUUAUAUCCUGUGGGUAGCAUGUUUAGAGAGUGAUUUUGCAAUAGGUUGUGUUGUUUGUUUUUUUGUAGAGAUGGG
rnacentral:lncRNA from 1 species